AUGCAUGUCUAAGCACACGCCGAUAAAUGGUAAAGCCGCGAAUAGCUCAUUACAACAGCCAUUAUUUAUUGGAUCUUACUUUCCUACUUGGAUAACUGUGGCAAUUCUAGAGCUAAUACAUGCAACAACGCUCCGACUUAUGGAAGGAGUGCAUUUAUUAGACCAAAACCAAUCGAGCUUCGGCUCGUAGUUUGGUGACUCUGAAUAACUUUGCCGAUUGAACGGUCUUUGAACCGUCAACGUAUCCUUCAAGUGUCUGACUUAUCAACUUUCGAUGGUAGUGUAUUGGACUACCAUGGUUAUCACGGGUAACGGAGAAUUAGGGUUCGACUCCGGAGAGGGAGCCUGAGAAACGGCUACCACAUCCAAGGAAGGCAGCAGGCACGCAAAUUACCCACUCCCGGCACGGGGAGGUAGUGACGAAAAAUAACGAGACGUUUCUCAUUGAGACGCGUCAUCGGAAUGAAUACAACCUAAAUCCUUUAAUGAGGAUCUAUUGGAGGGCAAGUCUGGUGCCAGCAGCCGCGGUAAUUCCAGCUCCAAUAGCGUAUAUUAAAGUUGUUGCGUUUAAAAAGCUCGUAGUUGGAUCUGAGGUCGUGCGAAGCGGUCACCCAGUGGGUUGUUACUGCUUACGCAGGCCAAAUUUCUCUAGCGCACUCCAAGUGCUCUUAAUUGAGUGUUUGGAGUAGCUAGGACCUUUACUUUGAAAAAAUUAGAGUGCUCAAAGCAGACGUUUGUCUGAAUAUCUCUGCAUGGAAUAAUGGAAUAGGACCUCGAGUCCACUUUGUUGGUUUUCGGUCCCGAGGUAAUGAUUAAGAGGGACAGACGGGGGCAUUCGUAUUGCGACGUUAGAGGUGAAAUUCUUGGAUCGUCGCAAGACGAACUACUGCGAAAGCAUUUGCCAAGAAUGUUUUCAUUAAUCAAGAACGAAAGUUAGAG
rnacentral:rRNA from 1 species